rnacentral:rRNA from 1 species
CAUUGAGUAAUGAUCAAAUAUUUAUAGGAAUAAGAUGGGCAUGCGUGUCAUUAGCUAGUUGGCGGGGUAACGGCCCACCAAGGCGACGAUGACUAGGGGAUCUGAGAGGAUGACCCCCCACACUGGUACUGAGACACGGACCAGACUCCUACGGGAGGCAGCAGUAAGGAAUAUUGGUCAAUGGAGGCAACUCUGAACCAGCCAUGCCGCGUGCAGGAAGACAGCCCUCUGGGUCGUAAACUGCUUUUAUUCGGGAAUAAACCUUUCUACGUGUAGAGAGCUGAAUGUACCGAAGGAAUAAGGAUCGGCUAACUCCGUGCCAGCAGCCGCGGUAAUACGGAGGAUCCAAGCGUUAUCCGGAUUUAUUGGGUUUAAAGGGUGCGUAGGCGGCUUAUUAAGUCAGGGGUGAAAGACGGUGGCUCAACCAUCGCAGUGCCUUUGAUACUGAUGAGCUUGAAUGAACUAGAGGUAGGCGGAAUGUGACAAGUAGCGGUGAAAUGCGUAGAU